rnacentral:rRNA from 1 species
AGAGUUUGAUCCUGGCUCAGAACGAACGCUGGCAGGCAGUGCUUAAUACUGCAGUCGAGCGAGAAAGCUCCCUUCGGGGGGUGGAGUAAGGGGGCAAAGGGUUGAUAACCAGUGGGCCACCCGGCCCUCGAUUUCGGAAAAAGCUUUCAAAAAGGGGGUUUUACCCCAAAUGUGGUCGUUUGGUGGCAUCGCCGAACGAACAAAAAUACCCCUUACUUGUAAGCUAUCGUCCGGGGAUGGGCCCGCGGCCCAUUAACUAGUUGGUAAGGUAAUGGCUUACCAAGGCGACCAUCCCUAGCUGGUCUUAAAGGAUGACCAGCCACACUGGAACUGAGACACGGUCCAGACUCCUACGGGGAGGCAGCAGUGGGGAAUAUUGCACAAUGGAGGAAAACUUCUGAUGCAGCCAUGCCGCGUGUGUGAAGAAGGGCUUUCGGGUUGUAAAGCACUUUCAGUGGGGAGGAAAGGGUGUAUGUUAAUAGCAUGCAUCUGUGACGUUACCCACAGAAGAAGCACCGGCUAACUCCGUGCCAGCAGCCGCGGUAAUACGGAGGGUGCGAGCGUUAAUCGGAAUUAUUGGGCGUAAAGCGCGCGUAGGUGGUUAAUUAAGUCAGAUGUGAAAGCCCAGGGCUCAACCUUGGAACUGCAUUUGAAACUGGUUAACUAGAGUUUUGUAGAGGGUGGUAGAAUUUCAGGUGUAGCGGUGAAAUGCGCAGAUAUCGAGAGGAACACCAGUAGCGAAGGCGGCUCUCUGGGCCGAUACCGACGCUGAGGAGCGAAAGCGUGGGGAGCAAACAGGAUUAGAUACCCUGGUAGUCCACGUCCGUGAACGUUGAUCACUAGAUGUGGCGGACUCAUUGACGUCUGCCGUGUCGAAGCUAACGCAUUAAGUGACCCGACCUAAAGGAGUACGGCCGCAAGGCUAAAACUCAAACUAAGGACCGCUUUAAACUCUCCCUA